rnacentral:lncRNA from 15 species
ACCAUCCAGGUAGCAGAGUCUUAUCUGCCCCAGCAGCCUCAAGGGCUGACCUACCAGCAGCCGCAGAUACCACAGCAGCCUAGCUACCAGCCCAAGUUGCCCCAGGUGCCUAGCUACCAGUCCAAGUUGCACCAGCGGCACCAGCGGUCCAGCUACAAGCCCAAGUUGCCCCAGCAGCCCAAGGUGCCCCAGGUGCCCCAGCAGCCCCAGGUGCCCCAGCAGCCUAGCUACUUGCUCAAGUUGCCCCAGCAGCCCCAGGUGCCUAGCUACCAGCCCCAGCAGCCCCGGGGGCCCCGGGUGCCUAGCUACCAGCCCCAGCAGCCCCGGGGGCCCCAGGUGCCUAGCUACCAGCCCCAGCAGCCCCGGGGGCCCCAGGUGCCUAGCUACCAGCCCCGGGGGCCCCAGGUGCCCCAGCAGCCCCAGCAGCUCCAUCGGCCCCAGGUGCCUAGCUACUUGCUCAAGUUGCUCAACUUGCUCAAGUUGCCCAAGUUGCCCCAGGUGCCUAGCUACGUGCCCCAGCAGCCCCAGGUGCCUAGAUACGUGCCCCAGCAGCCCCAGGUGCCUAGCUACGUGCCCCAGCAGCCCCAGGUGCCUAGCUACGUGCCCCAGCAGCCCCGGGGGCCCCAGCAGCCCCGGGGGCCCCAGCAGCCCCGGGGGCCCCAGGAGCUCCGGGGGCCCCAGGAGCUCCAGCAGCCCCAGCAGCUCCCGUGGCCCCAGGUGCCUAGCUACUUGCUCAAGUUGCCCCAGCUGCUCAAGUUGCCCCAGCUGCUCAAGUUGCCAAAGUUGCCCCAGCUGCCUAGCUACCAGCCCCAGCUGCCUAGCUACCAGCCCCAGCUNNNNNNNNNNNNNNNNNNNNAAAACAUUUGCUUGGCAGCUUACAGAACUGGAUCUGCUGGGAAGUAUGGAGGUAACGUGCCAGUUGAAGGCUAUCGACCAGAUUCAGAUAGCUUAAACACUGGAGACGACUCUUCGUGGAGCACUGGACCAGCUGCUGGUGGUUCAACAUCAGAUACAAAUGAGGCAAGUAGCUUUAACACAACUGACCGUUAG